CAGAAGUGAUGAGACGGAGAUGAUUGGGUGUGUUUGGAUGGAGUGUGUGUGUGAGAAGGGGAACUGGGGUGGGGCUGUGUGUGGGGUGUGUGGGGGGCUCUCGUGGGGGCACUGAUGGCAGUGCUGAGCCAGGAGUGCAUCUGAGGCGUGUUGGGCACCUCGGGGCCCCUCUGCAACACUGCCAGUGAUUAAAGCCCCAAAAAGCCACCAGGAGAGCCCCAGGCAGCCCAAAGGUCUCCAGGGUCACCAGUGAUCCUCUGCUCUGAUCUCA
ensembl:scaRNA small Cajal body-specific RNA 7